UCUCUCUAUAGGGGGAGAAAGAAUAGAACUCAACACACCAUCCGCAGGAGUGAGCCACUUUCACACUCACACACACAACAGGCAAAAAGAAAAUAGCUUUUCCUGCAACGUCAACACCACUGAAGCCUCAGUUCUGACUAUGGUAUCCCACAAAGAGAUCCGUGAUGUCUGUUUCCUGGGCUGUGUGGACAAGCUUGCACACUGCCACUGGUACAGAAGAGAAAGGCUAUCCAAAGGUGGAAACAACCUAAAUGCUCAUCAACAGAUGAAUGGAUAAACAACAUGUGGUACAUACAUACAAUGGAACACUACUCAGCCAGCAGAGAAAUGAGAUCUUGAUGCGUGCAACAAUAUGGAUGGAGCUUGAAGACAUUAUACUGAGUGAAAUAAAUCAAUCACA